CUGCAACGCCUGCUUCAGCCCAAGUUACUGAAGCUUGAGUACUUACAAGAAAAACAGAGCCGAGUCUCCAGUGAGUUGGAAAAGCAGGCCCUGGAGAAGCAGAUUAAGGAAGCAGAGAAGGAAAUUCAGGACAUCAAGUAAGCUGGGCUGUCUGGGUCCUGGGAAGAGCCUCAGCCUUGCAUGGUACCAGCUCCUUGUCCUCUGCUUUAGCCAGCUCCCAGAGGAAGCUUUGUUGGGGAACCGGCUGGACAGCCACGACUGGGAGAAGAUUUCCAAUGUUAACGUAAGUUAGGAAGACCUGGGAGCCCACUGCUCUAGGAGUGCUUCUAAGCCAAGUGUGGUGGGAGCUUGGUGGUGAAGCCUCACCAUCCCUUGUGCCUUAAGCCAUUACAACGUCUCCAGUCCAAUAUGCUUGGCAGUUAGAAGUGGCAAAGGAUUUCAUGGGACCCUCCCCAGCUGAAAAGGUCCCACUCUUGAGAUAGACAGUCUUCAAUACUGUUUGGCU
rnacentral:lncRNA from 1 species